UGGGGAAUAUUGCGCAAUGGCCGCAAGGCUGACGCAGCGACGCCGCGUGGGGGAUGAAGCAUUUCGGUGUGUAAACCCCUGUUGCUCGGGACGAACAAUACCUUUCGAGGUAUCUGACGGUACCGGGUGAGGAAGCACCGGCUAACUCCGUGCCAGCAGCCGCGGUAAUACGGAGGGUGCGAGCGUUGUCCGGAAUCACUGGGCGUAAAGGGCGCGUAGGUGGUCUGCUAAGCGUGCGGUGAAAGCCUGGGGCUCAACCCCAGGUCUGCCGUGCGAACUGGUGGACUGGAGCACUGUAGAGGCAGGUGGAAUUCCGGGUGUAGCGGUGGAAUGCGUAGAGAUCCGGAAGAACACCGGUGGCGAAGGCGGCCUGCUGGGCAGUUGCUGACACUGAGGCGCGACAGCGUGGGGAGCAAACAGG
rnacentral:rRNA from 1 species